rnacentral:rRNA from 1 species
GACGAACGCUGGCGGCGUGCUUAACACAUGCAAGUCGAACGCUGAACCCGCUUCGGUGGGGGAUGAGUGGCGAGCGGGUGAGUAACACGUGGGCAACCUGCCCCCGGCUCUGGGAUAACUCCAAGAAAUUGGGGCUAAUACCGGAUGUGACCGCUGGCCGCAUGGUCUGGUGGUGGAAAGGGUUUCCGGCUGGGGAUGGGCCCGCGGCCUAUCAGCUUGUUGGUGGGGUAGUGGCCUACCAAGGCGACGACGGGUAGCCGGCCUGAGAGGGUGACCGGCCACACUGGGACUGAGACACGGCCCAGACUCCUACGGGAGGCAGCAGUGGGGAAUAUUGCGCAAUGGGCGGAAGCCUGACGCAGCGACGCCGCGUGGGGGAUGACGGCCUUCGGGUUGUAAACCUCUUUCAGCAGGGACGAAGCGCAAGUGACGGUACCUGCAGAAGAAGCACCGGCCAACUACGUG